GUCCAUACAGCCAUCUUAAGACUGUCAUAAGGGUGUCGUAGAGGUGCCAUAAGUAUGUCAUAAGGGUGUCGUAGAGGUGCCAUAAGUAUGUCAUAAGGGUGUCGUAGAGGUGCCAUAAGUAUGUCAUAAGGGUGUCGUAGAGGUGCCAUAAGUAUGUCAUAAGGGUGUCGUAGAGGUGCCAUAAGUAUGUCAUAAGGGUGUCGUAGAGGUGCCAUAAGUAUGUCAUAAGGGUGUCGUAGAGGUGCCAUAAGUAUGUCAUAAGGGUGUCGUAGAGGUGCCAUAAGUAUGUCAUAAGGGUGUCGUAGAGGUGCCAUAAGUAUGUCAUAAGGGUGUCGUAGAGGUGCCAUAAGUAUGUCAUAAGGGUGUCGUAGAGGUGCCAUAAGUAUGUCAUAAGGGUGUCGUAGAGGUGCCAUAAGUAUGUCAUAAGGGUGUCGUAGAGGUGCCAUAAGUAUGUCAUAAGGGUGUCGUAGAGGUGCCAUAAGUAUGUCAUAAGGGUGUCGUAGAGGUGCCAUAAGUAUGUCAUAAGGGUGUCGUAGAGGUGCCAUAAGUAUGUCAUAAGGGUGUCGUAGAGGUGCCAUAAGUAUGUCAUAAGGGUGUCGUAGAGGUGCCAUAAGUAUGUCAUAAGGGUGUCGUAGGGGUGCCA